GCCCCUGUAGCUCAAUGGAUAGAGCACGCCCCUUCUAAGGGCAAGAUGGAGGUUCGAUUCCUCUCAGGGGUG
rnacentral:tRNA from 1 species